UCUCGGGGCUCAUUGUAGCCUUUCUCUAUAAUAUCCCAAACAUCAUGUGCACCUAGGAGAGCAUUCAUCUUGAUACUCCAAUUAUCAUUGUUGCUCUUGUUGAGCAUAGGAACUUGGAAGGAUGCAACACUAUUUGCCAUGGUUUUAGAAAUUUUUGGUUAGAAUCUUGUGGCUCUGAUACCACUUUGUUGGAAGAGGAUUGCUAUUAAUAUUUGGAGGGAGGCUUUUAGGCUAAGGGAAUUUUGGAAGAGUAGAAAGAUUUUUGGAGAAGAGAAACUUUUAUUACUCAAGCUUGUUUUUUAUUUUUUUGGCUUGAUA
rnacentral:lncRNA from 1 species